rnacentral:lncRNA from 1 species
GGGCUUGUCAUAUGUACCAUUGGUCGAAAGAAUUUGCCAAAUAAAACAUUAAUUGCUCGAUUCCAAAUAAAACAAAAAAGGAGAAACCAGAGGGGCCACUCAGCCACUAAGGCCCUAAAUCUAAUCUUUCCUUAAUCAUCACAAUCCAUAAUCUACGCAAUCCCAACGCAUAUUCCUCUUAUAAAAGCUUCACAUCUUGCAGACUUAACACCAACGCAUGGGCCCCUUUUGGAUUCCGCACAGGCUUAUUGCGUCCAAAAUAAGUCCCAAAAAGCCAACAAAAAAUUACCAAAAAAAAAAAAAUAACAAUAAGGCUACAAACCAUACUAAUUAUACCAUCACCAACCCCGUUUACUAUUCAACACAAGUUCAUGCAUAUGACGCUUUUGUUUCACGAACCCACGGGACGAGACUUGAGGCGGCAAACCGGAGAAUGAACUCCGGACGAAACGAUUAUCUGUGCAUUGUUGCUGGUCGAAUUCGAUGAAGAUGAAACUGUAGAGAAGUUGCCGUCGCAGUCCGGUUGGAUCUUCUGGAGGUCAGCGAUCUGGAACCGGCCCGACUCGUGGGGGAGCCUGGUGUACGAAGCCGAAGGCGACUCAUUGAACAACCCCCUGAGCGGUCCUUGCUUCCCGCUCUUGUGUUCCACCACCACCCUAUACACGAACGGAAUGAGGCCCUCCAUUAUAAUCUUCCCAAGAAUGUUUUCCCAAGUGUGGAGAGGAGAUGAAGAAGAAGAAGAAGAAGAAGAAGAAAGAGAAGUUGAAGUUACUUUACACGAGAGCGGUGGUUCGAUUGGUUUAUAAGAGAGAAAAAGGUCAAUGACGUGGCACUGGAGACUGGAAUUACGAUAAGGAAUUGUAUUAU